rnacentral:rRNA from 1 species
AGAGUUUGAUCAUGGCUCAGGAUGAACGCUGGCGGCGUGCUUAACACAUGCAAGUCGAACGUGAUCCCACAGCAAUGUGGGUGAAAGUGGCAAACGGGUGAGUAACACGUAGAUGACCUGCCUUGGAGUGGGGGAUAACCACCGGAAACGGUGGCUAAUACCGCAUAUGCUUGUGGCGCUGGGCAGCGCAGCAAGGAAAGCUUUAGUGCUUCAAGAGGGGUCUGCGUCCGAUUAGCUAGUUGGUGAGGUAAUGGCUCACCAAGGCGAUGAUCGGUAGCUGGUCUGAGAGGACGAUCAGCCACACGGGAACUGAGAGACGGUCCCGACUCCUACGGGGGGCAGCAGUGAGGAAUAUUGGUCAAUGGGCGCAAGCCUGAACCAGCAACGCCGCGUGGAGGAUGACGGCCUUCGGGUUGUAAACUCCUUUUGCAGGGGAAAAGGAAGGAUGGUACCCUGCGAAUAAGUCACGGCUAACUACGUGCCAGCAGCCGCGGUAAUACGUAGGUGACAAGCGUUAUCCGGAAUUAUUGGGCGUAAAGCGCACGCAAGCGGUUGGACAAGUCCGGCGUGAAAUCUCCCAGCUUAACUGGGAGCGGUCGCGGGAAACUGUUCGACUUGAGGCGAUGAGAGGGGUGCAGAAUUCCCGGUGUAGUGGUGGAAUGCGUAGAUAUCGGGAGGAAUACCAGUGGCGAAAGCGGCACCCUGGCGUCGUGCUGACGCACAUGUGCGAAAGCGUGGGGAGCGAACGGGAUUAGAUACCCCAGUAGUCC